rnacentral:lncRNA from 12 species
ACCCCUCGACAUUUGCUGCCCAGGCUGCAGUAACAGCUCCUUGUGUCCGCAGAUUCCUUCAGCUCGGGCCCUGCCAUUGCCAUGGGGACGGCGGGAUCGCUCUUGGGGCUCAUCGUGACCACUGCCGUGUCUCGACGCCUGUGGAAACGAUUCAGAUCUCGGUAGCAGCUGUCCUAGAAGUGGGAGCAGCCGGCUGGUGGCCCCAGCCCUCCAGCCGUGUCCCUGCUGUCCCCCUGGCUGUCGCUGGCCUCGCUCGGGCCCUGGACAGCAAGAAGGAGUGGGAGCAGGAGGGCGAGCAGCUGCCUGCGGCUGGCGCGGGAGGCAAACAAAGCCUGGCAGGGCAAUGAGCACAGGCGACACAGGGACGCGUCCGGGGCUGGAUCCCCGCGGGCCGGCACCAAACACUGGGCUGGGCCCGGCGCCUGGGGCUCCGGGCACCAGCGGCAGCACGGAGGCCGCUUGUCUGUCACAACAGAAGGUCCGAGGCAGCCCCGGGGGCAGCGUGGGCUCGGAGGGCGGGAGGGACUGGUGCUCCAAUAAAGAGUUGUUUCCGUUCGAGCCCUGAGCAAGUGUCCUUUGCGCCUGGGCGGUCCCGGUCCCGCGGUCCCUCACCGGCCCAGGACACCGGCGGCAUCCGCGGCGCCCGCCCGGUUGCCAAGGGAGGGGCAUCUGCCCGCAGUAAACAUGGCGCCCGCGGCGUUACAGUUGUUAUCAGCUUCCUUGACCACACUCAAGAUGGCUGCCGCAGCCUCGCCCAAUGGCGGCGUUCUCGCAUUUCC